CAGCAAGACAACCACCGCGUCCACUGGGCGCGCCAUCAAGGUCGCUCGGAUAAACUCCAGCCCUAAACAGGAAGCGAAAAGACCAGCAAAGGUUUUCUUACUUGUAUUUCACUCCAUCCAUCAUCCAUUCAACUCUGACCAACUUCUCGUCAGACCGGACAGAAAUCACAUGUGGUGUACCCCAAGGUGAACCCAUUCAAAUACUGAACAGGAUAAAUCAAACAGAAGGGAAAAAGGAAAAAGAUGCGAUCCUGUCUGGUUCUAAUAGUGAAGCCAUCCGACCUGCUAGAGCUCCAGAGACGGUUCCUUUCCCCUGACAGUUCAGCACA